AUGAAUCUGUAGAAUCUUUGAUUCUACAGUAUUAUUUUUCUGAUGAAGUAUGUUAAUGUCACAAGUCAAAAUUAAACUGCUUUUGUCUCAAGGUUCUGAUAGUUGAGUGGUUUCUUAGCUUGAAAAUGCCCAGGAAUUCAGCAAGAGUUUUGAGGGUUCAUGUUCAGCUUCUUGGUGUCUUUGGUAUUCUGCCUGACUGGUUUUUCCCAUAGUAAAGUGAGGUGUACCUUCCCUGCCUGCCUCUGCCCUCCUGUCACCUUCUGCACCCAGCCCUGCGUUUCAGCAGGUGUGGUGCCUCCCUUACUCCCUGUGGGUGGGGCUCUGCGAGGGUGCUGGGGAAGACAUGUCAGCUGACACUGGCUCACAUGAGGGCCACUGGGAAGGUGGCGUGGCCAGUGUCAGAGCAGCACGUUUGCCUAGGCCACGGGAGUGGGUCUCGUGACCAGCUAAUGGCCGCUCUGGGUGCCAGCUGGGGACGCAGGUGGGGUGAGUCACAAGCUGCUCCGCCUGCUGAGUAUCUCGUCUUUUCUGAACUGGAGUCCAGGCUCAGGAACAGGAGUGGGAAGCAGGAUUUGUGCUUGUCUGUAUUUGUCAUGGGCUUGCCCACAGCAUGUUUUAUAAGGCGACUGGGUGCGUCUGACUCCUCCAGAGCUUCAUUUAUGUAACAAAUGAAUGUUCCUUUUUUUAAACCUUCUAAAAGAGGAAAUUACGAGGCUUUUGCCAAGUAGCUUGUUUCAUAUACUGCAUAGGAAAUGGAAUGAUCUCUUGGAGCUGCUGGUCACUGCAGAAUAACCCUCAAAUAACAAAGGAACUUCAAAAUUUGUGCCCAGUCCAAGUUGAUGGUAAAGAUAAACCGGAAGAACAUUAAUCGCCCAGGACAUGUGUGGCGGCACAGCGAAAACCUCAAACCAGCCUGGGGGCUGGCAGGAUUCGGCCAGAUAUGUGAGGGACGCUGUCUCUGCUGCUGGGAGGAUUUACAAGACGCUUUUGUGCACAAAGAUUCAAAGAUGUGCCUGGGUAGGCAGGGACACCAGUCACACCGGACUGGACAACAGUUGGUCAUGUUCGGAGAUUGACCUGAAUGAGAUUCGCCUCAUAGUUUACCAGGACUGCGAGAGGAGGGGCAGACAAGUGUUGUUUGAUUCUAAAGCUGUUCAGAAGAUUGAAGAGGUAGCUGCGCAGAAAACAGAGGAUGUGCCCAGCAGAGGGGCAGCCAGGAGCUGUCCAGGAAGCAGCAGCGGGGGUGGCAGCAUCUCCACCAGAAGUUCCGGGGGAUCUUCACACCACGGGAAGGAACAGCUGCCAAAGUACCAGUACACAAGGCCAGCCUCGGACGUCAGCAUGCUCGGGGAAAUGAUGUUCGGCUCAGUUGCCAUGAGUUACAAAGGCUCCACCUUGAAGAUACACUAUAUCCGCUCUCCUCCACAGCUGAUGAUUAGUAAAGUCUUCUCUGCUAGAAUGGGCAGCUUCUGUGGAAGCACAAAUAACUUGCAGGACAGCUUUGAGUACAUCAACCAAGAGCCUCACGUGGGAAAACCAAACACAAAUCACAAUGCUUUGGGUGCUUGUGCUGGAAGUAACCUAGGUCUGCUGCAGGCGUGCAGCAGCAAACUGCUGCUGGGGGUGGCUGAAGGAGGACCUCUCCGGCUCACCCGGAGCGCUUCUUUCUUCGCAGCUCACAGCACUCCUGUUGACAUGCCAAGCCGAGGGCAGAACGAAGACAGGGACAGUGGCAUUGCUCGAUCAGCCUCCCUCAGCAGCCUUUUGAUCACACCCUUCCCAUCUCCAAGCGCCUCCACGUCCUCCUCCAGCAGCUACCAGCGCCGCUGGCUCCGGAGCCAGACCACGAGCUUGGAAAACGGCUUCGUUCCGCGGAGGUCAACAGAUGAGACAUUCAGCUUGGCUGAAGAGGCCUGCAGUUCUAAUCCAGUCAUGGUUAGGAGGAAGAAAAUCGCCAUAAGCAUCAUCUUUUCCCUCUGCGAGAAAGAUGAAGCACAGCGGAAUUUCCAGGACUUCUUUUUUUCUCAUUUUCCCCUGUUUGAAUCUCACAUGAACAGGCUGAAGGGUGCAAUUGAAAAGGCCAUGAUCUCCUGUAGGAAGAUCGCAGAAUCAGGUCUCCGUGUCCAGUUCUAUGUCAGCCGCUUAAUGGAAGCCCUGGGAGAAUUCAGAGGGACCAUCUGGAAUUUAUACUCUGUCCCAAGGAUAGUGGAACCAGUGUGGCUCACCAUGAUGUCAAGCACUUUGGAAAAAACCCAGGUCUGCCAGCGCUUCCUCAAAGAGUUUACUCUUCUAAUAGAGCACAUCAACAAAAACCAGUUUUUCGCUGCUUUGCUGACUGCAGUGCUGACCUACCACCUGGCCUGGGUGCCGACCGUCAUGCCCGUCGACCACCCCCCGGCGAGAGGCUUCUCCGAGAAGCGAGCUUCGCAGUCAGUGAGCAUGCUGGCCAAGACACACCCAUACAACCCUCUCUGGGCACAGCUGGGCGACCUCUAUGGAGCUAUAGGCUCUCCAGUGAGACUGACUCGCACUGUGGUGGUGGGAAAGCAGAAGGAUUUGGUCCAGCGUAUUCUUUAUGUGCUGACCUACUUCCUCCGCUGCUCUGAGCUACAAGAGAACCAGCUGACCUGGACCGGGAAGCACAGAGAAGGAGACCAGGUCAUCAACGGCAGCAAGCUCGUUACUGCCUUGGAGAAGGGUGAGGUGGAGGAGUCCGAGUACGUGGUAGUCUCAGUGAGAAAUGACCCUGCUCUUGUACCCCCUGUCCUACCAUCGAUGAUGGCAAAGAGAAGAGGUCCUGGUCCCCCCAGGUCAGCAUCGACCCCAGAUGGCAUUGACAUGAGAUACCUGGCUCCUACACCUGACAGAGAAGGGAGCAGGAGGUCACAGCAGUGCACUGAGGCUUGCAGCACAGGAUUCCCAGGGCCAGCACCAGACAGUGCCUGGACCCCACACGGCGCAUUUCAUGGGGGUAGAGACAGCGAAGAAGCAGUACCCCCAGCUGGCUUCUCAGGACCUCCGUGCUGUGAGGUUCCAGGGGCAGGAAAGAAAAUUGACCCCCAGACUGUGCAGGAGGAGAUGAAGGAAGAGAUGCCUAAGAAACUACGGGAGCCGUCUGCAGCCCAGCCAUGCCCUGAUAGGCAUUCCCGGGAGGAGCCUCCUGCAGAAAAGGUUACUUUCCACAUUGGCGGCUCUGUCUCUCCAGAGUCUGACUUCGAGAGCCGCACCAAAAGCAUGGAUGAGAGGCUUCGGGGCUGCGCACAGCGUUUGGCAGCAGCUGGCACUUCGGAGGCCAGCGCAGCCACCAGUGAGGCCUGGGACGGGCGGGCCUCAGGGUGCAUCUCCAGAGCUGACUUUCAGAGGGGCACCUGCUCUCCUUGCUCUGCUUGGGAGAACAGUGAGCCUAGCAGGGGCUGUGCUGAGGACAGAGGUGCCUCUGGGCAGCUCCUGCAAGCCAGUAGCCGUUUGGCACCUCCCUGCCUUGCUACGGGAGUGAGAGUGAAAAGGCUGGAGAAAACUCAGGCUCUGCACCAGAGAGGCGCCAGAGGGCCUGUGCAGUUACCUGCCCUGGAUAGCUAUGUUCCACAGGACACUGAUAUCCCCCACGGGGAUGCCAACCGGGAGGCCAGCUUCAGGGUUGAAGGAGAUCUUCCUAGAAACGAAAGCUCUGACAGUGCUCUUGGAGACAGUGGCGACGAGGCAUCUGCAUUUGCCAUGCUGGGUCCAGGUCCUGGCAGCCACGGGACAGAAGGAUCCUUGGAAGUGGAGCUGCCUCUGCCAAGGUCUGAGAGCAUCAGCAACCCACACAUCAGAAACUUCGGCCGCUCGCUUCUGGCGGGUUACUGCCCCGCAUACAUGCCCGACCUGGUGCUUCACGGAACCAGCAGCGACGAGAAGCUGAGGCAGUGCCUGCUGGCUGACCUCAUCCACACAGUGCAUCAUCCGGUGCUUGAUGAGCCAAUAGCUGAAGCUGUCUGUAUUGUGGCAGACACGGACAAGUGGAGCGUCCAGGUGGCCACAAGUCAGCGGAAAGUGACGGAUGGUGUGAGGCUGGGCCAGGAUGUCCUGGUCUCCAGCCAGGUGUCCAGUCUACUUCAGUCCAUUUUACAGCUGUAUAAGCUUCACCUGCCUGCUGAUUUUUGCAUCAUGCAUCUGGAGGACAGACUGCAGGAGCUGUACCUGAAGAGCAAGAUGCUGUCCGAGUACCUCCGGGGACACACCCGCGUGCAUGUGAAGGAGCUGGGGCUUGUGCUGGGGAGGAGUCACAGCUCCUGUCCCGCUGUCCUGCUCCCUGCAACUGGGCACUGUGCAGUCCCUAAGACAAGGCUCCUGCUCCCCCAAGUCUGCCUUGAGAAGGGUGCUGCCUUGAGCUGUGCAGGGGAAAGCCCGUGUUGUAUGGCCGAGUCACUGAUGCAACGGAGAAGCAGGAGAGACGUGGUCUCUGGGACCUCCGGCUGACACCUGCAGUCGAGCCCCUAGCUCAGGCUGUGAAGGGAGGGCUGCUCAUCUGCAGGGGCUGCCUUCUGCUCCCUGCCAAGCCUGCGCUGGUGUUCGUGUGCCGGCCCUUUGUAUCCCAGGCAUGGCAUCUUUCCCACCCAGGAUACUGCUGACUUGUUUGGCUCUUAGUAUUUCCUAGCAUACGUAUUUUUCUUGUGUACUUCAUUUUAGAAAAUAUUUUUCCUUUUUUGAUGCCUUAGUUAUUUUCCCCUUUUGGUUUUUGUCUUUCUUUACCUGCCCCAUAACCCUACCCCUAGAGGCUUCUCAUUGCUGGCUGUGGUCCCCGCAGCCCAGGUCCAGCGAGAGGGAGGGAAGGAGGAAGGGACCAGCCCAGCCUCUCAUGUGCUGAUGGCUUGGAGUGCAGUGCUGGGGCUUGUCGCAUCUGCUGAGCUGGACCUGCUGGGGCACCACUGGAGAGGAGCAGAAAGCUCCCCAGGCAACGCCAGCUCCCACUCUACGUGUGAAUUUUUGGGACUCAAAGUGCACAGACUGAACCACAGUGGUGCAGGUGUCCUCCAGCAUCCAGCAGCAGCAGACAGACCUGUGCCCUGUGCUCCCCUGAGUUGCCCUGCAUAGGGAUCUCCGUGCUGCUGUUCUGCUCUCGGAGGCCAUGGCUCUGCCACAUGAGGAGCAUGAAUGUUUGAGCCCCGGCUUGCUGCCACCAGCAUCCCCUGGAGUGGGUGAAGAGUCAGCCCAGCCCCAGGACUGCUGGCAAAAAGGGAUUGAGUCUAAUGAUCUGCCUCUGCUGACUGCUGUGGCCAGCACACACUCCCCUCAUGUGGCUCAGAUACUCUUAUAAGCUAACGCUCAGGACAGCUCUUCCCUGGAAGAAGAAAAACAAAUCUCCCUGAAAGACAAAAGCAUAAGCUCUCCAGGACAUCAGAAGCUCGAGAAGAGCACGCAGAAAGUCAUCCCACCCUUGGUCUCUCGCUGUGCUUUCCAGAGGAUGUUUAGGGAGGACUUGUGCCAUCUCCACCCAAUGGCAUCUGUGACUUCCAGGAACUCUCCCUGCCUUUCAUUUCCCAGGAGUCUGCAAAGUGGACCAGCUGGUGGAGGGGACACAGCACCACAGCACCCUUGAAGCCUUGGGCAUCAGCCGACCCACUACUCAGGCAGGAGGGUGAGGGGCGGGGCAGAUGCUGUGACAUUCCAGCAGCAGGUGACUCCGAGCCCAGGCACGUGAGUGCUGCUCCACAGAGACAGACAGAUGGGACUCAGGUUCCAGGUCUCCAGGGCGGGGAGACAGAGCCACCAGCAGCUAUGCUUGGCUCUGGCCGCCUUAGCUGCUGCUGGAUGAGAGGGAAAGGAAGCUUCCUAGGGGGAAAAGAGGGUGCUCGGUGGCCCUCAGAGUUUGCUUUGAUUCAGAUGCAGCUCUGGGGGUUCAGAGGUGGGUUGUGGGUGCAACAGACCUGAGGAGCCGUGUAGUAGCCUGCGCCCCACAGGGGUGGAUACAGCUGUGUGUACCUGAGAUAGGGUACAUGGCCUUUUCAAGAGAGGCGUCUUACGCUCCAGCGUCUGCAGUGACUUCCUCCUGCCUGGCACCUCCUGCUCCAGGGGCGCAGGUGACUGCUUCAGCUUUAGAGGCCCCGCUGUCUGCAGCAGUUCCAGGACUCGAGGACCGCAGUCAGAACAAUCCAUGUCCAAUCUGAAGUUUUACAUUGCGACCUCUGCACCUUUUAAUUCCUAUGUCCUGUUCCAGACAUCUUCCUGGAAGUUCCCUUGACCAUCAUAGCUUACAAAGUAAAGAAUCACUAGUCCAAUUCACUUAAAAACAAAGCCUCAGUUUUCUGUUACUGUAGAAGAGACUUGGCUUGCUGACCAUGACCACAGACCAUGUCCACUUGUCUAGCAGACCAGACCUCAGACAUGGACUAGAAGGCGGUGGCUGAUCUGGUGGAGCCAGCACUGUUCACCUGGCUGGCUUCUCCCCCGUGCUGCCUCCCGGGGACAGGAGGAUGCCUCCUCCAUGGAGCUGGGGAGACUUCUGGCCUGACGCAUGAUAGAACUGUGAUCCUGACCAUUGGUGACCUAAACAAGGGACGGGUGUAGCCCCUCCUAGGGCAGGCCGGAGCUGCAGCCCUUCCGCCCAUGCUGAGAAAGGUAGUAGGUGCAUCAAGGUCCUGAGAUUUUUAACUUAUUUGAUGCUUUUCACAAAAUCAAAGUUUCCCUUCUUUUUCCUAUUUGCUGUCAUCAGGAGAAGCAUGCCCUCCUGGUUCCCUUACCCAGUUUGCUUUUCCUUCUGUAAACUGGCAUUCCAGCCCUGCUGCCACCCACCGUCCCAGCCCUGCCACCGCUGUCACAUCAGCCUACAGCAGACCCUCAUCACCAGCUCCCUGUCCCUGCCCUGCCCCACUUGGGGGCACCUGCCUCACUCACCACUGUGCCCUGCUGUACACUAGGGAGCAAGGAAGACUGAGCCCCUCCCCACCUACCCCAGGACCUUUGCCUCCCCAUCCUGUACCCCCAAGUCCCUCCUCCCCAGAGAGAGGCCUGCUGGGACCUGCGGGGGUGGGGUUGCAGGUAGGUCGGAUUCCAGUCCAGCCACCAUCAUAUCUGUUGCCCCUAAAAACAGCUGAGAAGGUUGUGCCCAGUGACCCGCCUCUGAACAGCUACCAUUCAUGUUUUCUUUGUUUUAAAUUCAGUCUCUUUCCCCUGGAAGUGAGAGAGAAAACCCCUCAUGCAACUGUGUCCAGGGGCAGCCAAGCACCCCUCUGCACACCUGAGGCUGCGGCUGCCCUGGCCACAAGGCCAGAAAGGGACCUCGCCCUCUCCCAUGCCCCCUGCAAGAAAAAUCAAAAUCAAAAAAAUGAAAAUCUACCUCAGGUGACAGGGUUCGACCUUUAGGGUUUCUUCAGCCUGUGCGUCGUACCUGUUGAGUGUAAGUCUGUUGCCGCUUGCUUUUUUAAGCAAGCUAGAGAGGCAUGACAGAGCAGAAGUGCAUGGUGGACAUUCCUGUGCUGACCUCUUUCUAGCAUGUCGCAGUUUUAUUUUUAACAAAUUGAUACGUGAGAUGAAUGUAAAAGUUACUGUGUGCGUUUCAAACAUGACAAUGAAAAUUUAAAAUGUAGCUUCCAUACUUGUGCAUAAUUCCAAAGUAUUUUAUUUUUAUCAGUGUUAAAUAGCUUUUUGUACAGGCUUUAAUCCAUUUUUCUGAAAUGUGCUGUUUUUUAAUGAAAGUAACUAUAAUCUUUUCACAUCCCAUGGAACUGCUGUUUACACAUUGCAACUUUUUAAACUAACCAUAUUUUUCAGAAUUAACUUUUUGGAGGGAGGAAAUUCCCCACUUGCUAAAUGAUAUGAAACUUAUUUGGGCUCUUAUAAUUAGAUCCUCAGAUUUUAUAAAAUCAUAGUCUGUAGCUUUCUAGAUUUUUCACUAAGGUUGUUGUACAUAAAGAAUGUAAAGUGAGACCCAAACUCUUUUAAGUGUCCGGUUCCCACUAGUGAUUAGUGUGGGGGCUUAUUGGUCACGCACUCUGUAGCCAUUAAAUUGGACAAGUCCUGAGCGUCUCUCAGUUAAUACAAAUGGUUUGUUUUGUUUUGUUUACUGUGCUUGGGGAGGGGAGAUAUGUUAAUGUAAUUUUGCCUAAGUCAAACAGCCCACUCUAAAUGUUAAUUUUUAAAUGUCAAAUUUUGGUGAACCACCUGUUACACUAUGCUUAAAUUUUAAGUGGUGGGUAAAACUAGAGAAUUCUGGGGUAUGUUACCAUUAAAGCUUCAUUAAGAGAAAUUGAUAGGGACUUCAUUUUUGAUCAGUUGAAUAGAUACCAAUGUCAAUGUGUGGGAAAUUUUUCUUAAAACUUGCUUAUGUUGUUUUGAUCCCUUUUCUGUGGCAUUUGGUGCAAUAAACCUUUGGAACUUUU